GCAGCUGUGGCCUACUGGUUAGCGCUUCGGAUUUGUAACCGGAGGGUUGUCGGUUCGAAACCCCAACCAGUAGGCA
rnacentral:tRNA from 1 species